rnacentral:rRNA from 1 species
UACGUAGGUGACCAGCGUUGUCCGGAUUUACUGGGCGUAAAGAGCGCGCAGGCGGUCGUUCAAGUCGAGUGUGAAAGCCCCCGGCUCAACUGGGGAGGGUCACUCGAUACUGAUCGACUUGAAGGCAGGAGAGGGAAGCGGAAUUCCCGGUGUAGUGGUGAAAUGCGUAGAUAUCGGGAGGAACACCAGUGGCGAAGGCGAUACGCUGGGCCGUACCUGACACUGAUGCGCGACAGCAUGGGGAGCAAACAGG